GACGAACCUUGCUAACGUUAAUCGGAAUUACUGGGCGUAAAGCGUGCGUAGACGGUUAUUUAAGUCGGGUGUGAAAGCCCCGGGCUCAACCUGGGAAUUGCAUUCGAGACUGAAUAGCUAGGGUACGGUAGAGGGAAGCGGAAUUCCCGGUGUAGCGGUGAAAUGUGUAGAGAUCGGGAGGAACACCGGUGGCGAAGGCGGGUCUCUGGGCAAUUCCUGACGCUGAGGCGCGAAAGCGUGGGGAGCAAACGGG
rnacentral:rRNA from 1 species